rnacentral:rRNA from 1 species
GACGAACGCUGGCGGCGUGCUUAACACAUGCAAGUCGAACGGAAAGGCCUCUUUCGGGGGGUACUCGAGUGGCGAACGGGUGAGUAACACGUGAGUAACCUGCCCUUGACUUUGGGAUAACUUCAGGAAACUGGGGCUAAUACCGGAUAGGAGCUCCUGCUGCAUGGUGGGGGUUGGAAAGUUUCGGCGGUUGGGGAUGGACUCGCGGCUUAUCAGCUUGUUGGUGGGGUAGUGGCUUACCAAGGCUUUGACGAGUAGCCGGCCUGAGAGGGUGACCGGCCACAUUGGGACUGAGAUACGGCCCAGACUCCUACGGGAGGCAGCAGUGGGGAAUAUUGCACAAUGGGUGGAAGCCUGAUGCAGCAACGCCGGGUGCGGGAUGACGGCCUUCGGGUUGUAAACCGCUUUCGCUCAUGACGAAGCUUUGUGUGACGGUAGUGGGUAAAGAAGCACCGGCUAACUACGUG